rnacentral:misc_RNA from 1 species
CAGAGUUCAUGCCCUUACGGGUAGAUCUCCCACCCUUGAAUAACAUACAUUGUUGCUUUGGCGGACGCUUCGGCAGCCGCCAGAGAACCCUAAACUCUUGUUUACAGUGUCGUCUGAGUACUAUAUAAUAGUUA